rnacentral:rRNA from 1 species
AAACUGAAGAGUUUGAUCCUGGCUCAGAUUGAACGCUAGCGGGAUGCCUUACACAUGCAAGUCGAACGGCAGCGCGGACUUCGGUCUGGCGGCGAGUGGCGAACGGGUGAGUAAUAUAUCGGAACGUACCCAGUAGCGGGGGAUAACUACUCGAAAGAGUAGCUAAUACCGCAUACGCCCUACGGGGGAAAGGGGGGGAUCGCAAGACCUCUCACUAUUGGAGCGGCCGAUAUCGGAUUAGCUAGUUGGUGAGGUAAAGGCUCACCAAGGCGACGAUCCGUAGCUGGUUUGAGAGGACGACCAGCCACACUGGGACUGAGACACGGCCCAGACUCCUACGGGAGGCAGCAGUGGGGAAUUUUGGACAAUGGGGGCAACCCUGAUCCAGCCAUUCCGCGUGUGCGAUGAAGGCCUUCGGGUUGUAAAGCACUUUUGGCAGGAAAGAAAU